AACGGCCGUACCAUGCUGAAUAUACCGGUUCUCGUUAGAUCACCGAAGUCAAGCAUCAUUGGGCGCGGUCAGUACUUGGGUGGGUGACCACCUGGGAAUACCGCGUGCCGUU
rnacentral:rRNA from 1 species